AUUAAUAUCGGAGCAGGCGGAGCGAUAGGGGGCUCCCUUGCUCCCUCUGUUUUUGAAGCGAUUUCAAAAUGUUGGGUAAGUGAACUGGGAAGGGACGCUGAUUGGUCGAUAACUUAUCCCGAGAGCGGACUUGAUACGCCCGGGACCUGCCACUCAGUCGCCAUGCACUCAUAUGAUAGGACGUCAGACAGACUACCAACCCUGGUAUCAUCCCUUCUCGUUACUAUGACAACCGACUCCACGGCGACUGUUGUUGCACUUGGCACCGAAACUCACUCCGCUACUAAUUAUAUCACAGAAAAUAGCUACCAGUCAUGGAAUUCCAAAAAUAUCGGGUGGCUGGGAGCAAGAAAGACGGCGCGUGCAGUUGGCCUCCGUAACGGAACGGAGGCGCGCAAGUCAUUAUUAUGCUAGCAAGUCGUAACCAAUCACACUUGGGACACCACACGCAUUCCAACAAAACUUUUUUGGGGUAGAGAGCGCCUUUUUUCCGCGUGUGUCAUCUUCUACAAUAGCUACAGUGUCCGAUUGUAAAGUGGUGGGUAAACAGUGAUUAUGAAGAGCCAGCGAACCAUGAGCUACUAUCCGUAUCAUCCUCUUGGCUAAAUCUGAUUGGAAUCACAUCAUAUCCACCAGAUAGUCGGGAGAGGAUCAGCAUGACCCCGAUUAGAAGCAUUUUGCUAACACCACUUCAUCCAUUCAUCACACGCGAUUUGUAAAAGAAAUUCAUAUCUGUAUUUGAUCGAAUGAUUCGAUAUUACCAGAUGAACUGGACACGCCUUUGAACGAGGCACCACCACUACUACCACCACACCCCUCACGACUCCACCCCAGACCAGCUCGGUUACCCCCAGUUAAAAGAAGACUCUGUGGAAACUCGUCGUUCUUGGGAGGGGCAUCAGCUUUCAUUUUCAUGAAGAAAAGAGGCCGAACUUCUUCAACGUUUUGUUCGUGACUCUUAACGUUGUAAUCGAUACUUUGGAUGAAGGGAGAAAGUUCUUUGAUGAAACCUUCCAAAAUGGGGAGACGGAGAUAACAUUUAAAGAAUCCUGAGAAACUGUUUUAGAAGCCAGGAAUCAACUAAUCUCCAGUUUCUUAUUUAAAUCGGACUCGUAGAAUUUGAGCCGAAACGUGGAACAUAUUUACGGAUACCAUAUCCAACUGGGAUUUCCUAAAAGGAAUUUUAUCAUUUCGUUCUCCAAGAAUCUAAAAAGAUCAUCAUGUUGAUACUGUGUUUGCUGUGCCUCACAUGGAUGAUACCCAUCCUGGCUGGGUCUACCUUAGUCCCUGCAGAUCGUUCAUCAUCAGAGAGAAAUGUUGACGAUUCACACUACCUCCCCCAAACCAACCCACUCCUACUCCUCGAGGAAUACACUUCAUUAAAAUCACAGAACGAGGACCUGGACCCGUUAUUGUUCCCUCCUGGAACCGAGAUUCGAAUCGCCCCGCACAGGGUCCUGAAACCUUCGAGCGAAGAAGCCAUGCAGAUUACAGAAAAACAAUACCUCCGCGGGGACUGGUGCAAAACGCAGCCCUUGAAGCAACGGAUCGAAGAGCCAGGAUGUAUCCCAAGGACCAUCGCAAACAGAUUCUGUUACGGACAGUGCAACUCUUUCUUUAUUCCCAAACAAGCGGCGUCUUAUAACGAAGCUUUCAAAUCGUGCUCGUUUUGUAAACCGUUUCGAGUGAACCACAUCACAGUAACUUUACGAUGCCCUGGUCAGAAUCCACCUAUCAAGAGGAAACGGGUUCCCAGAGUAAAACGGUGCAGGUGUAUGGCGGUUGAUGUUCCGUAGAUCAACGACCAUCGCGUUUAACUUUAUAAACAAUUAUUUAUAUCUUGUGGACAAACUUUGCGAUGAAAAGACAUCUAUGAUGAAUUUAUCUAUGACAUGUAUCAUUAUUACUACUAUUUGAAGAAAAAAAAGAAAACACUGCCACGCAACACACAUUAUUCGAUGUAUACAUAUAUUAUUGUACAUGUAUAUGGACGUGUGAAGCGGGCUCUGAUUGGUGGAUUAGGAAAAUCAACGAAUCAUCACGUGACUUCACGAGAUGACGACAUUACUGAGUGGUGUCCAACUAGCUCUACGUAUUGAUUGAGCUGCUAUGUACGACGACGGGAGCUCAUAGGCACGACGCCAUAUUUAUGCAAUUAAUAUAAUGCACUCAUUUAAUUAUUGAUAUUUGUAUAACAGAAGAUAUGAGAUAUUCACAUUGUACAUAUUGUAUAAUGAUAUAAUCUGUACUGUAUUCAAUGAAGAUAUUCUCUACUACUCCUAUUUUUUUGUGAGUGAAAUAUAAUGUAAAUACAUGGAGAUAUGUAUGAACUAUAAA